UACGGGGGGAGCAAGCGUUGUUCGGAUUUACUGGGCGUAAAGGGCGCGUAGGCGGCGUGACAAGUCACUUGUGAAAUCUCCGGGCUUAACCCGGAGCGGCCAAGUGAUACUGUCGUGCUAGAGUGCGGAAGGGGCUACUGGAAUUCUCGGUGUAGCGGUGAAAUGCGUAGAUAUCGAGAGGAACACCUGCGGCGAAGGCGGGUAGCUGGGCCGACACUGACGCUGAGGCGCGAAAGCCAGGGGAGCAAACGGG
rnacentral:rRNA from 1 species